rnacentral:rRNA from 1 species
AACGCUGGCGGCGUGCCUAACACAUGCAAGUCGAACGAGGUCCAUCCUUCGGGAGAAGACCUAGUGGCGAACGGGUGAGUAACACGUGAAGAACCUGCCCCGAAGACCGGGAUAACCCUCCGAAAGGAGAGCUAAUACCGGAUACCCCCACCGAACCGCAUGGUUUGGUGAGGAAAUGGAUUCCGCUUCGGGAGGGCUUCGCGGCCUAUCAGCUAGUUGGUGGGGUAACGGCCCACCAAGGCAUCGACGGGUAGCUGGUCUGAGAGGACGAUCAGCCACACUGGGACUGAGACACGGCCCAGACUCCUACGGGAGGCAGCAGUGGGGAAUCUUGCGCAAUGGGCGAAAGCCUGACGCAGCAACGCCGCGUGGGGAUGAAGGCUCUCGGGUUGUAAACCCCUUUCAGCAGGGACGAAUCAAGACGGUACCUGCAGAAGAAGCCCCGGCUAACUACGUG